GUUGCCUUUUAGUUUUGUUAAUUGUUUCCUUUGCUGUGCAUAAGCUUUUUAUCUUGAAGAGGUCCUAAUAGUUCAUUUUUGCUUUUGUUUCUCUUGCCUCCGGACACAUGUUGAGUAAGAGUUGCUAUGGCCAAAAUCAAAGAGGUUUUUCCCUGCUUUCUCCUCUAGGGUUUUGAU